GUGCCCGUAGCUCAACUGGAUAGAGCACCGCCCUUCUAAGGCGGGGGUUACAGGUUCGAUUCCUGUCGGGCACACCA
rnacentral:tRNA from 2 species